rnacentral:rRNA from 1 species
GAUCUCAGCUCAAGCAUAAGACCCGCUGAAUUUAAGCAUAUAAUUAAGCGGAGGAAAAGAAACUAACCAGGAUUCCCUCAGUAAGGGUGACUGAAGCGGGAGUAGCUCAAGAUGUGAAUCUGCGCCGUUCUGCGGCGCCGAAUUGUGGUCUAUAGGCGUGUGCGUUACCUGGCCGGGCCAAGUCCCUUGGAACAGGGCGGCUGAGAGGGUGAGACCCCCGUUCGCCUGGCCUUUGGAGCGCGCGUCGACGAGUCGAGUUGUUUGGGAUUGCAG